CCCGCCAUAGCUCAACCUGGUAGAGCGCUUGGCUGUAGAUCAAGAUGUUGUGUGUUCAAUGGCCCCUUUUCUUUUCAAAAAGAAAAGGCCCCGGGGUUCAAAAGAAAACCCAUAAAAAUCAGCCGGACAAAUCACACUGGCGGGA
rnacentral:tRNA from 1 species